GAUGAAGAACGCAGCGAAAUGCGAUAAGUAAUGUGAAUUGCAGAAUUCAGUGAAUCAUCGAAUCUUUGAACGCACAUUGCGCCCGCCAGUAUUCUGGCGGGCAUGCCUGUUCGAGCGUCAUUACAACCCUCAGGCCCCCGGGCCUGGCGUUGGGGAUCGGCGGAGCCCCCCGUGGGCACACGCCGUCCCCCAAAUGCAGUGGCGGUCCCGCCGCAGCUUCCAUCGCGUAGUAGCUAACACCUCGCGACUGGAGAGCGGCGCGGCCACGCCGUAAAACACCCAACUCUUCUGAAGUUGACCUCGAAUCAGGUAGGAAUACCCGCUGAACUUAGGCAUAUCAAUAAGCGGAGGA
rnacentral:misc_RNA from 1 species